rnacentral:rRNA from 1 species
AAGGAAUAUUGGACAAUGGAGGCAACUCUGAUCCAGCCAUGCCGCGUGAAGGAAUAAGGCCCUAUGGGUUGUAAACUUCUUUUAGACGGGACAAAACCCCUUUACGUGUAAAGGGUUGAUGGUACUGUCAGAAUAAGCAUCGGCUAACUUCGUGCCAGCAGCCGCGGUAAUACGAAGGAUGCAAGCGUUAUCCGGAAUUAUUGGGUUUAAAGGGUGCGUAGGCGGACUAAUAAGUCAGUGGUGAAAGCCUGCAGCUUAACUGCAGAAUUGCCAUUGNUACUGUUAGUCUUGAGUACAGUUGAGGUAGGCGGAAUGUGUCAUGUAGCGGUGAAAUGCUUAGAUAUGACACAGAACACCGAUUGCGAAGGCAGCUUGCUAAGCUGUAACUGACGCUGAGGCACGAAAGCGUGGGGAGCAAACA